UACGGAGGAUCCAAGCGUUAUCCGGAUUUAUUGGGUUUAAAGGGUGCGUAGGCGGAAUUGUAAGUCAGUGGUGAAAGCCCUUCGCUUAACGAAGGAACUGCCAUUGAUACUGCAAAUCUUGAGUACAUUUGAUGUGGGCGGAAUGUGUCAUGUAGCGGUGAAAUGCUUAGAUAUGACACAGAACACCGAUUGCGAAGGCAGCUCACAAAACUGUAACUGACGCUGAGGCACGAAAGCGUGGGUAUCAAACAGGAUUAGAAACCCCAGUAGU
rnacentral:rRNA from 1 species